UGUGACUUAGUUUAACUAGAACAAUCAACUUGCACUUGAUAGGAGAGGCCCCUCAGUGACGG
rnacentral:tRNA from 1 species